UACGUAGGGUGCGAGCGUUAAUCGGAAUUACUGGGCGUAAAGCGUGCGCAGGCGGUGAUGUAAGACAGAUGUGAAAUCCCCGGGCUUAACCUGGGAAUGGCAUUUGGGACUGCAAGGCUGGAGUGCGGCAGAGGAGACUGGAAUUCCUGGUGUAGCAGUGAAAUGCGUAGAUAUCAGGAGGAAUACCGAUGGCGAAGGCAGGUCUCUGGGCUGACACUGACGCUCAUGCACGAAAGCGUGGGGAGCAAACAGG
rnacentral:rRNA from 1 species